rnacentral:rRNA from 1 species
CGGAUUGUAGUCUGCAACCGACUACAUGAAGCUGGAAUCGCUAGUAAUCGCGAAUCAGAAUGUCGCGGUGAAUACGUUCCCGGGUCUUGUACACACCGCCCGUCACACCAUGGGAGUCGGAAAUGCCCGAAGUCAGUGACCCAACCGUAAGGAGGGAGCUGCCGAAGGUGGAGCCGGUAACUGGGGUGAAGUCGUAACAAGGUACC